rnacentral:lncRNA from 1 species
CCUAACAGCUGUUAAUUAUUUUAACCAAUCAAACGUUAUGUUUCUCAAAAUAGUAACUCAAGAAAGGUGGAAAUUAUGAGACUUUUACACGAAGGGGGCGAAGGGUUAAAGCCAAAGUGACGUGCAUGGCACCAACAUUAAUCGAAACCAGAAUGUCAUGAACGAUAGCUCUAGACCAUGAGAACGCUAUCUCGGAAGAUUGGGCUCUCGGACUUCUUGGCAAGGAAGAUACUGAGUAUCAAUUUCUUCACCAAAUGUCCCAAGAAGAUGGAUAAGGCCAAGCAGGAAGUAGAAAGAUACCUGACUGAUGACUUUGAAGGGCUGGAAGGUAUUUCAAAGAUACAAUAUCGUACUUCCCAGUAGUAGCAGCAGCGAGCGUUUGUUCUCCAAGGCCAAACAGAUCCUGAGGAUGACGAGACAUACGAUGAGAGACAACAACUUUGAGAAACAGCUUCUAUUAAUGUCAAAUAAAGAGCUAGAAGAGAAAUAAUUUAUGUAGAUAUUUUAUUAUUUGCCGGCAGACUAUAUUUUAAUUUUUUCUACACUUUAUAUUUAUAAUAAAAUUUUGUAAAUAGAUACAUUUGAAAAA